rnacentral:sRNA from 1 species
ACAAAUAGUGCCAAGACUCGUGCCCGAGUGUUGAGCCUGGACAGUGGCACAGUAGCAUGUUUGAAUGACUCAAACAGGUUAAUGGCACCUGAAAGUAUAAAGCCCUUAACCACUUCAAAAUCAGAUCUUGAGGCCAAAGAGGGAGAGGUGCUAGAUGAGCUAUCUUUAUUAGGACGGGCUUCCCAGUUAGAGACAGUCACUCGAUCUAGGAAUAGCUUGCCAAACCAGGUUGCAUUUCCUGAAGGGGAAGAGCAAGAUGCAGUCAGUGGAGGUAAGUUCUCUUCUACGCUGUAUGAGACUGGUGGCUGUGAUAUGUCACUUGUGAAUUUUGAACCAGCAGCAAGAAGAGCAUCCAAUAUCUGGUAUGUGUGAAGUCAUAUUAGGAGUGUGUGUACUUUCAUAUGUUUGCCAUAUUUAAUGUUUUUAAGCCUAGAACUAUAAAAGUUAAUUUUUUUGUUUUUUAUAAUUUGUUUAAUGUUGUUAAUUGACAAAUAAAAAUCAUAAAUAUUU